AGUGAACGCUGGCGGUAGGCCUAACACAUGCAAGUCGAACGGCAGCACAGGAGAGCUUGCUCUCUGGGUGGCGAGUGGCGAACGGGUGAGUAAUACAUCGGAACGUGCCCAGUUGUGGGGGAUAGCCCGGCGAAAGCCGGAUUAAUACCGCAUACGACCUACGGGUGAAAGCGGGGGAUCGCAAGACCUCGCGCAAUUGG
rnacentral:rRNA from 1 species